rnacentral:rRNA from 1 species
CGGCGGACGGGUGAGUAACACGUGGGUAACCUACCUAUAAGACUGGGACAACUUCGGGAAACCGGAGCUAAUACCGGAUAAGAUAUCGAACCGCAUGGUUCGAUAGUGAAAGAUGGUUUUGCUAUCACUUAUAGAUGGACCCGCGCCGUAUUAGCUAGUUGGUGAGGUAACGGCUCACCAAGGCAACGAUACGUAGCCACCUGAGAGGGUGAUCGGCCACACUGGAACUGAGACACGGUCCAGACUCCUACGGGAGGCAGCAGCC